rnacentral:rRNA from 1 species
UCAGGCCUAACACAUGCAAGUCGAACGGUAACGCGGGGCAACCUGGCGACGAGUGGCGAACGGGUGAGUAAUGCAUCGGAACGUGCCCGGUAGUGGGGGAUAACUGCUCGAAAGAGCAGCUAAUACCGCAUACGACCUGAGGGUGAAAGGGGGGGAUCGCAAGACCUCUCGCUAUCGGAGCGGCCGAUGUCGGAUUAGCUAGUUGGUGGGGUAAAGGUCCACCAAGGCAACGAUCCGUAGCUGGUCUGAGAGGACGACCAGCCGCACUGGGAGUGAGACACGGCCCAGACUCCUACGGGAGGCAGCAGUGGGGAAUUUUGGACAAUGGACGCAAGUCUGAUCC